rnacentral:rRNA from 1 species
CGGUAGGGUAUUGGCCUACCGUGGCUAUGACGGGUAACGGGGAAUUAGGGUUCGAUUCCGGAGAGGGAGCCUGAGAAACGGCUACCACAUCUAAGGAAGGCAGCAGGCGCGCAAAUUACCCAAUCCUAAUACAGGGAGGUAGUGACAAGAAAUAACAAUACAGAACCUUACGGUUUUGUAAUUGGAAUGAGUUAAGUAUAAACCCCUUAACAAGUAUCAAUUGGAGGGCAAGUCUGGUGCCAGCAGCCGCGGUAAUUCCAGCUCCAAUAGCGUAUAUUAAAGUUGUUGCAGUUAAAAAGCUCGUAGUUAAUCUUCUGUUAAUUUUUAUAUAUAAUAUCACGAUAUUUAUAUAAUAUUAACAUAAUUCAUAUUACUUUUUAGUAUAUGAAACUUUACUUUGAGAAAAUUAGAGUGCUUAAAGCAGGCUAUUGCCUUGAAUACUCCAGCAUGGAAUAAUAUUAAGGAUUUUUAUUCUUCUUAUUGGUUCUAGAAUAAAAAUGAUGAUUAAUAGGGACAGUUGGGGGCAUUUGUAUUUAACAGUCAGAGGUGAAAUUCUUA